GAUGCUGGAGGUAAGAAGGCAAAAAUAUAAUUCCAUUUUUUGUAUCUCUUCUAAAUGACUUUAUUUUCUGCUUGCUUUCUUAGGGAGGCCCUUCCAAGCAAUAGAAUUCUAUGUUAUCAUUCUCCCAAGGCAGAGUGGAGGUAUAGAGCAGCUAUGUCAGUCAGCAACUUCUGUGCCAAGAAAUGGGGAAGAGUUGCUUUAAGGCCACAAGAUCGUUAUGCAGUCAUCAGACUUCCAUGUGGCAGUGGUAGCAAAUCCAGUAUAGGGAUCAAAUCCUUAAAUAUGUACAAGAACCUAAAUCCUUUCCAUCUCUGGCCCAGGAACAGUAUCUCUACUGGAGGGAGGUGGGUGGACUAACACAGAGCUCACUGCUGAACUACUGAACUUGGGUGGAUCAGAAACAGAAUUGAAGCUAUUUUAUCUGGACCUAAUUAAACAACCUUCAUUACUGGCAGGUAUGUGUUUGUGAUGACUAGAAAUUAGCUUGAUUGGAAUUAAACCUCAAAAUAUAAGGCAUUGAA
rnacentral:lncRNA from 1 species